rnacentral:rRNA from 1 species
UACGUAGGGUGCAAGCGUUGUCCGGAAUUAUUGGGCGUAAAGAGCUCGUAGGCGGUUUGUCGCGUCGGCUGUGAAAACUCGGGGCUCAACCCCGAGCCUGCAGUCGAUACGGGCAAACUAGAGUGCUGUAGGGGAGACGUGGAAUUCCUGGUGUAGCGGUGAAAUGCGCAGAUAUCAGGAGGAACACCGGUGGCGAAGGCGGGUCUCUGGGCCGAAACUGACGCUGAGGAGCGAAAGCGUGGGGAGCGAACAGG